UCUUAGCCCCGAUUGCAACGACAUCCUUUUUCUGAAAUGGCUUGAAAAAAGAGUUGGCGAAAAAGAUAUAGUGGAAAGCGGGAAAAGCU
rfam:Chryseobacterium sp. MOF25P AB670_contig000075, whole genome shotgun sequence.